rnacentral:rRNA from 1 species
ACGCUGGCGGCAUGCCUAAUACAUGCAAGUCGAGCGAACAGAUGAAGUGCUUGCACUUCUGACGUUAGCGGCAACGGGUGAGUAACACGUAAGGAAUCUACCUAUAAGCGGAGGAUAACAUUCGGAAACGGGUGCUAAUACCGCAUAAUAUCUUCUUCCGCAUGGAGAAGAUUGAAAGACGGCUCUGCUGUCACUUAUAGAUGACCUUGCGGUGCAUUAGUUAGUUGGUGGGGUAAUGGCCUACCAAGACGAUGAUGCAUAGCCGACCUGAGAGGGUGAUCGGCCACAUUGGGACUGAGACACGGCCCAAACUCCUACGGGAGGCAGCAGUAGGGAAUCUUCCGCAAUGGGCGAAAGCCUGACGGAGCAAUGCCGCGUGAGUGAAGAAGGCCUUCGGGUCGUAAAACUCUGUUAUAAGAGAAGAACAAAUUGUAGAGUAACUGCUACAGUCUUGACGGUAUCUUAUCAGAAAGCCACGGCUAACUACGUG